GCUGCCCAGCACAUACAUCCCACUCACUGGGAGCUACAGGCAGCAGUCUGUAAGUCUGCAAAGUGUAAAUCUCACCAGCCACUGCUGAGAGGGAGCUUAGCCAGGCAGUGUCCUCUGUCACCACAAUCUUUUUAGAUUGCUCUGCUACAGCACAGUGUGCUGGGACCAAACAACUCUGGAUUUAGCCUUUCAUUUGACAAGGUACAUAGGAGCCAAAGAGUAGGAGGGAAGAGAGAUGAGAACAGUGAACAGAUCAAACAAGCAACCUUCGGAGGAGACAUCAGCCCCACCAUGAUCCUUGGCGUGAUUGGCUUUCAAAAUAUUUAAAGUUCUUGGCUCAUGUGGACUGAAAAUCUUCAAAGGAGCACAAGUCCUCUUGACUUGUAAGAUGAUAUGAGCACCUAUGUCACAUGCCUGCCUUUAGAAAUGCUUCUUGCAAAGCAGGCUGAUGGAUAUUGUCCAGCUAUCCCGGCAGGCAGAAGUUGUGCAACCCCUCCAAGGCAAAGGAUAUUUGGACAAUGAAAGGGAAAUGAGGAUAUUCCUGCCUCGCCCAGCCCUGAUUGCCUUAGGAAGGAUGCAAAUGUCUCUACUGCUUUACCUGGAGGUCAAACAGGACCUGAUCAGGCCAGGGUCUGCCGAGGGAAGCUCAGCUAAAUUGUCAGGUCUCACAAGCUGUGGAUGAGGGUCCUGGGCCCACUCAGUGUUCCUGUGCCAUAGUCUGGGGCCAGGCAAUGGGGUUGCUUCCCAGCCCUGGUACUCCUCAUGCCGCACAGCCAGUCAGCCUAACGUGGGCACCACUGACUGUCUGUGGAGCUGGUGUCCAGUCACCAUGGGGGAGAGGCUGUUGUGCCCCCUUUCUGACUCCUUGGGCCCAUUGUCCCCCUCCAUCCCCUGCACAUUGCCAAUUACUGUCUUUCUGCUUUACUCUCUGCCAGAUCUCAUUCCAUGUCUGGUCACCCAUUGUGGCCCAAGGUGUGUCACUGGCUGCCAUUGCUGUCCCUUUGAUCACUGCCCACCCCAAGAGGACCUUGAGAAAUCGUGUGCCCAGAGCAGCAUAACAUUUUGGCUGUAGCUGCCAAUACUUAGCCUACUUUGAAAGGGAUCUUAGUCUGAGUGAAAUCCUUGAAAUGCUGCUUUCACCUGUGUACUGCAGUAUUUGUACAGAGGGGUUCAUGAUGCACUUUAUAGGUCUGGCUUU